AUAAGCGCACACGGUGGAUGCCUUGGCGGUCAGAGGCGAUGAAGGACGUGGCAGCCUGCGAAAAGUAUCGGGGAGCUGGCAACAAGCUUUGAUCCGGUAAUGUCCGAAUGGGGAAACCCACCCGCUUGCGGGUAUCCUGCAGUGAAUACAUAGCUGCUGGAAGCGAACCUGGUGAACUGAAAUAUCUAAGUAACCAGAGGAAAAGAAAUCAACCGAGAUUCCGUAAGUAGCGACGAGCGAACGCGGACUAGCCCUUAAGCUGAUUUGGUUCUAGGAAAACGCUCUGGAAAGAGCGGCCAUAGAAGGUGAUAGCCCUGUAUCUGAAAGGGCCAUUUCAGUGAAGACGAGUAGGGCGGGGCACGUGAAACCCUGUCUGAACAUGGGGGACCAUCCUCCAAGGCUAAAUACUACUGACCGACCGAUAGUGAACCAGUACCGUGAGGGAAAGGCGAAAAGAACCCCGGAGAGGGGAGUGAAAUAGAACCUGAAACCGUGUGCGUACAAGCAGUAGGAGCCUCGCAAGGGGUGACUGCGUACCUUUUGUAUAAUGGGUCAGCGACUUACUGUUCGUGGCAAGCUUAACCGUAUAGGGGAGGCGAAGGGAAACCGAGUCUGAUAAGGGCGCAUAGUCGCGGGCAGUAGACCCGAAACCGGGUGAUCUAGUCAUGCCCAGGGUGAAGGUGCGGUAACACGCACUGGAGGCCCGAACCCACUCCCGUUGCAAAGGUAGGGGAUGAGGUGUGAUUAGGAGUGAAAAGCUAAUCGAACCCGGAGAUAGCUGGUUCUCCUCGAAAGCUAUUUAGGUAGCGCCUCAUAUGUAUCCUCUCGGGGGUAGAGCACUGUUAUGGCUAGGGGGUCAUCGCGACUUACCAAACCAUUGCAAACUCCGAAUACCGAGACGGACUGUAUGGGAGACACACGGCGGGUGCUAACGUCCGUCGUGAAAAGGGAAACAACCCAGACCCACAGCUAAGGUCCCAAAUUCACUGCUAAGUGGAAAACCAUGUGGAAAGGCACAGACAGCCAGGAGGUUGGCUUAGAAGCAGCCACCCUUUAAAGAAAGCGUAAUAGCUCACUGGUCGAGUCGGUCUGCGGGGAAGAUUUAACGGGGCUAAGCAGUGAACCGAAGCUUGGGGUGCAUAACUUUGUUAUGCGCGGUAGAGGAGCGUUCCGUAAGCCGUUGAAGGUGGAUUGAGAAGUCUGCUGGAGGUAUCGGAAGUGCGAAUGCUGACAUGAGUAACGAUAAUGCGGGUGAAAAACCCGCACGCCGAAAGCCCAAGGUUUCCUUGCGCAACGUUAAUCGGCGCAGGGUGAGUCGGCCCCUAAGGCGAGGACGAAAGUCGUAGUCGAUGGGAAGCAGGUUAAUAUUCCUGCACCUCGCGUAAGUGCGAUGGAGGGACGGAGAAGGUUAGGUGUACCAGGCGUUGGUUGUCCUGGGGAAAGGCGGUAGGUUUGGAUCUUUGGCAAAUCCGGGAUCCUUCAAGACCGAGCACCGAGACGAGCCUUUAUGGCAAAGUCACUGAUACCACGCUUCCAGGAAAAGCUCCUAAGCUUCAGCUUACGCAGACCGUACCGUAAACCGACACAGGUGGGUAGGAUGAGAAUUCUCAGGCGCUUGAGAGAACUCGGGUGAAGGAACUAGGCAACAUGGCACCGUAACUUCGGGAGAAGGUGCACCCUUUUUGGUGGCUCGUGCGAGCUAUAGCUGAAGAGGGUCGCAGUAACCAGGCCGCUGCGACUGUUUAUCAAAAACACAGCACUCUGCAAACACGAAAGUGGACGUAUAGGGUGUGACGCCUGCCCGGUGCUGGAAGGUUAAUUGAUGGGGUCAGCCGCAAGGCGAAGCUCUUGAUCGAAGCCCCAGUAAACGGCGGCCGUAACUAUAACGGUCCUAAGGUAGCGAAAUUCCUUGUCGGGUAAGUUCCGACCUGCACGAAUGGCGUAACGACAGCGGCGCUGUCUCCACCCGAGACUCAGUGAAAUUGAAAUCGCUGUGAAGAUGCAGCGUUCCCGUGGCAAGACGGAAAGACCCCGUGAACCUUUACUAUAGCUUUACACUGAACGUUGAGUUCGUCUGUGUAGGAUAGGUGGGAGGCUAUGAAACUGUGGCGCUAGCUGCAGUGGAGCCAUCCUUGAAAUACCACCCUGUCGUGCUUGACGUUCUAACCUGGGCCCAUUAUCUGGGUCGGGGACCGUGUAUGGUGGGUAGUUUGACUGGGGCGGUCUCCUCCUAAAGAGUAACGGAGGAGCUCGAAGGUACGCUCAGCGCGGUCGGACAUCGCGCACUGUGUGCAAAGGCAUAAGCGUGCUUGACUGCAAGAUCGACGGAUCAAGCAGGUAGGAAACUAGGACUUAGUGAUCCGGUGGUUCUGUAUGGAAGGGCCAUCGCUCAACGGAUAAAAGGUACUCCGGGGAUAACAGGCUGAUACCGCCCAAGAGUUCAUAUCGACGGCGGUGUUUGGCACCUCGAUGUCGGCUCAUCACAUCCUGGGGCUGUAGUCGGUCCCAAGGGUAUGGCUGUUCGCCAUUUAAAGUGGUACGCGAGCUGGGUUCAGAACGUCGUGAGACAGUUCGGUCCCUAUCUGCCAUGGGCGUUGGAGAUUUGAGAGGGGCUGCUCCUAGUACGAGAGGACCGGAGUGGACGAACCUCUGGUGUUCCGGUUGUCACGCCAGUGGCAUUGCCGGGUAGCUAUGUUCGGAAGCGAUAACCGCUGAAAGCAUCUAAGCGGGAAGCGCGCCUCAAGAUGAGAUCUCCCGGGGCACAAGCCCCCUGAAGGAACCAUGUAGACUACGUGGUUGAUAGGUCAGGUGUGUAAGUACAGCAAUGUAUUGAGCUAACUGAUACUAAUGAUCCGAGAGGCUUGACC
rnacentral:rRNA from 1 species